rnacentral:rRNA from 1 species
GUCAGCAGCCGCGGUAACACCGGCGGCCCGAGUGGUGAUCGUGAUUAUUGGGUCUAAAGGGUCCGUAGCCGGUUUGGUCAGUCCUCCGGGAAAUCUGAUAGCUCAACUAUUAGGCUUUCGGGGGAUACUGCCAGACUUGGAACCGGGAGGGGUAAGAGGUACUACAGGGGUAGGAGUGAAAUCUUGUAAUCCCUGUGGGACCACCUGUGGCGAAGGCGUCUUACCAGAACGGGUUCGACGGUGAGGGACGAAAGCUGGGGGCACGAACCGGAUUAGAUACCCGGGUAGUCCCAGCCGUAAACGAUGCUCGCUAGGUGUCAGGCAUGGCGCGACCGUGUCUGGUGCCGCAGGGAAGCCGUGAAGCGAGCCACCUGGGAAGUACGGCCGCAAGGCUGAAACUUAAAGGAAUUGGCGGGGAGCACAACAACGGGUGGAAGCCUGCGGUUUAAUUGGACUCAACGCCGGACAACUCACCGGGGGCGACAGCAAUAUGUAGGCCAAGCUGAAGACUUUGCCUGAAUCGCUGAGGGGAGGUGCAUGG